CCUCUCUCAUUAUCACUCACACCCUAACACAAACACAAACUCAAAUACAAACACAAAUACACACAUCCCUCUAUCUCUCUCUCUACCAAAUCUCUCCUCCCUCUUGGUCUCUUGGUUAGGUUCUACUAGAUUUUUAGUCAUCAAACUCUUAUCCAUGGUUUGACUUCUCCUAUCAUGAAUCUAAGUGUCUCUUCUUUCUCUUGGCCUUUUGGUUUCUUGCAAUGGGAUAUUCGGCUAUCAACCUGCCCUACAAAACUUUUGCCUUCUCCUAACAUGAUCCCAAGAUUUCUUAUUGGUGACUGUUAGGGCAUUUUCUUUUGACACUACUUGAAGACGUUUGAGGACAUCUUCUUUUAGCCCUUAGUAUUUUAUGUUAUUGUAUGUUAUAAAACAUCUUGUAUUAUUGUAUGUGUUGGAAACAAUUUGUAUGGAUGGAUUGAAUAGAAUACUUGUUUUAUUUUUACAUUUGGA